rnacentral:rRNA from 1 species
UACGGGAGGCAGCAGUAGGGAAUCUUCCACAAUGGACGAAAGUCUGAUGGAGCAACGCCGCGUGAGUGAAGAAGGUUUUCGGAUCGUAAAACUCUGUUGUAAGGGAAGAACACGUACGAGAGUAACUGCUCGUACCUUGACGGUACCUUAUUAGAAAGCCACGGCUAACUACGUGCCAGCAGCCGCGGUAAU